AGAGGAAGUACCACCUAAGGUCACAGAUUGUGUGAGCUGGGAGAACCUUAGGGGUGAUCUAGUUCAAGCCUCUCCAUUAUUUCAUAGAAGAGGAAACUAAGGAUCUGAGGGGCCCAGUGAGUUUCCCAUGGUACCAGCAGAGUCCCUAAUAGGGCCCAGGUCCACUGAUCCCAAGGUUGGAGGCUUCACACAUUACCAAUGGACAUUUGGAACAGAUUACUAAGGAUACCAAGAGGGAACAGGAAGCAGAAGUAAAUGAAUUCAGAAAGCUUUUAGGUCAACUGAUAAGAAUGCUGGUGAUCACUCGGGGCUACUGUGGACAAUAGAACACUGAGCUGAAGGCACUGUGAUAUCAGUUGGACAACACCUAAGUUGCCUUUUUUAAAGGGAAUUGUAGUCAAAGCUAUACUCCCCAGCCCUUGGAUGCCCUGGCCUGUCUAGGGGCCAUGGGGGCAAAAUGUGGGCUGUAUUUAUUGCCAGAAUUUUUCCAUUCUCACAAAUUUUAAUCCUUUGGAACUUCCUGUAGGGUGUAUGGGGUGUGCAGUAGGACCAGCCUCUCUGGUGGGAGAGCUUGCUGAGCCCUUUUCAGGGCUGCUCAUCCUCCCUCGGUGUCUGCCUGCCACCAGCUCUCACCUAUAACAUGCCCAGCAGCCAUAUCCUGGGCAAACUCUUGGCAGAUGGGCUAUAAAACCAGGCUGGGGGUAACCAAUGGGCUUCAAAUCCAUUGGGGAGCUGGGAGGGUGUGUGCCUCAGGUAUGUGCUGGCUCCCCUGCCCCGUUCUGAAGGGGAGCAUGAAAACAAUUUGGUCUACACUGAAGGAGCCACUGUUAUCCACCGUACCCCAGACCAUCACCGGCUGUCCUGACUUUUGUUGUAUUACUGGAUUUGGAUGACUCUGGAAGAGCCAGUGAGGCUGAAGACUUUGUGCAACCGCCUCCUUUAAAUCCAAUUCAUGAGCGAGUCAAGAGAUCCCUCCUUUAUGUUACAGGUCCUCUUUGAGAACAAAGGACCACGGCAGCCACCACCACCACCACCACCAAGAGUGCCUCCUGAGUAAUGGUAAUGGGAAGACAAGAAGAUAACUUUCCCCAUUUGCUUCUCUGGCUUUGAGUGAAAAUAUCUACAUCCAGCCCAGAGACAAACAUCUUUAGAAAAGAUUUACUACAACCUCAAAGAGGAAAAAGGCCUAGGCUUGCCCAAGAUCAGAAGAGAGGUUCUUGCCUUGAACUUAACUGAGCAUCAGUCCUACCUUCUGGUUAAUCCAAGUACCAAUCUGGAACGGACUCAAGAAAUCUAAUUUAGGAGCACAUGAUGAAUACUACUGAUACAUAUAAGAAGAAAAACAAUCAAAUCCUAAAGAAAGAUUUUCCUGAAAUGAGGAUUUGCAAUAAAAACAAUUUAUUUA